UGGAAAAAACCCCUGUUGUAGCCCCCUUGUUGAGGGGGGCAUAUAUAAGUGGGCCUCAACAACCACUUAGUCAACACGGGUCAAAAAAUUUACUAACAGGUUGGGGCGGGCUUUUUUAGAGUUCGCUUCAAUAGAACUUGUUGGAGGGGGCUUUAUAUUGCCCGCCUCAAUAGAUACUAGUCUAAAGGGGCGGGCUUUGUUUUGUUCGCUUCAACCGAUAUUCACGAAAUUUAAAACAAUAAAAACAUAGCUUCUCAUCGCCAAACCGAUAAAACAAUCCCUUCAAAUCUCUAUAUUCAAACAAAGCAAGUACGCUUCUAGUGCAAUCUGCAGGCGAGUUCGCACCGCUCCUCACCGCGCGCCUCCACCACCACCACCACCUUCCUCGCCUCCUCUUCCAUAGUAGUCGCCCCCGACCGUCGUCUUCCCUAUCUCGGUUGACUCUGUUUCACACAGUGACGCAAUCUGUCAAGCUUGUUUUGAGUACUGGAAGCGGUGUUAAUGGUUUCACUCUAGAUCCAUCUCUUGGAGUGUAUAUUUUAACUCAUCCAGACAUCAAGGGAUCGAGUCGAUUGGAAGAAAGUCAACACGACCUUACUUAAGGUUUGUAAUGCAUGAUCUAAAGGGACCUAAGUGGCUGGAUUAGAGACAUUUGUUAGAUUAGCUCUCUAGCCUUUUGUCUUUAGUUGUUAAUAUAAGUUGUAAUUUGUUAGACUAGCUAGGUGUUUAAAAAUUGUAAACAUACGUACUAUAUAUACGCUUUGCUCUGUUGGGUUAAUAUAAAUGAAGUUAAUGUAA